UACGUAGGGAGCAAGCGUUGUCCGGAAUCAUUGGGCGUAAAGAGCGCGUAGGCGGCCCUGUAAGUCCGUUCUGAAAGUCGGAGGCUCAACCUCCGAAAGCGGAUGGAUACUGCAGGGCUAGAGUCCGGAAGAGGCGAGUGGGAAUUCCUGGUGUAGCGGUGGAAUGCGCAGAUAUCAGGAGGAACACCAACGGCGAAGGCAGCUCGCUGGGACGUAACUGACGCUGAGACGCGAAAGCGUGGGGAGCAAACAGG
rnacentral:rRNA from 1 species